CACAGAGGGGAGAUGGGGUGCUGUGCUCCUGGUGGCAGGGGACACCCGCGGGUGUCAGUCCCGGAUNCUCUGCCAGGGCUGUCGGCAGGUGUCACAUCCACGGGGAGACACCGUGUGGGCAUCCCGGGUAGGGAGGCUGGUGCCUGCCGAAACUGGGCAGUGCUGGGGCAGAAGGGGGCAUCCAACCAACCGGAUGCCCACUAGCCGGGGGGUGGAGAGCAGAGGGAAUGCAAAACCCUCUCCCUGCAGAGCUGGUGUCAGAGGCUGGUGGGCAUGUGAGCAUGGUGGCACUAGCAGCACCGUGGGGCCAUCCCAGCUCUGCCCCCCUCAAUAGGCAGAGGGUUCCAGCCGCUGCAGGAGGGCUCUGCUCUCCCUGCAGUGCCACAGAGCCCCAGCUCCCCGUGCAAGCCUCCCCCUGCACCCACGCUGUCCUCGCAGAGGAGGAAUAAUUUGGAGAAACCAUGGCAACCCCACAGCUCCACCGGCAGUGGGUGCCGCUGGUGGGUGGAAGACACCGGAGCCUGUGGGAUGCAGCGCCCACAUCCCCAGCGCACAGGGAUGCACACACGCUGGGGGACAGUUCUUUGGGUGGCAGUUCCUUUUGGUCCAGCAGGGCUGUGGCUGCAGAGGUCUCUUGAGGGUGCUCCAUGCACUCACAAGGCGUCCAUGGCCCCAGCAGCCACACUUCCACCACACUGGCAGUGCCCAAGGAGCCUCAUGUGCCUUGUUUGUUUUACAGUGCUGGGAUGGAGUCACCACAGGCCCCUCGGCCACCUCAGCCCACCCAGCCCCUCACUGCUGCUGCUGCUGGACCAGGGUGGGCUACCGUCCUCUGAGGCCGUGUGACAGGGAACUAGCAGAAGAGUCGCUUUUAAGAUGACACGAACAGACCCACCUGACAUUCUGGUGUCCACGGUGUACCAAGACAUCAAGGUGGCGACAGCAGCCCCUGGGGAUUCCGUUGUCUGUCAGCCCCUAGCACAAUGUGAUGCCUCCAUGUCCUCCUCCCUGUCCCGCGAGCCGCAGCCCUUCAACAAGCGCCAUUGUAGGAGUUUCGACUUCAUCGAGUCGCUGGAAGAGCUGGGCACCCCCUCGGCCAUGGAGCGCGCCUGCCCNCAGCUGUGGGAGUGACCAGGCUGCUCUGUGGCAUGCGCUGAGGGGAGCUGGAGGCAGACUCAGCGCCCAGCCCAGGGCACUGGUGUCAGGGCAC
rnacentral:lncRNA from 1 species